rnacentral:rRNA from 1 species
GAUGAACGCUGGCGGCGUGCCUAAUACAUGCAAGUCGAGCGAACAGACGAGGAGCUUGCUCCUCUGACGUUAGCGGCGGACGGGUGAGUAACACGUGGAUAACCUACCUAUAAGACUGGGAUAACUUCGGGAAACCGGAGCUAAUACCGGAUAAUAUAUUGAACCGCAUGGUUCAAUAGUGAAAGACGGCUUUGCUGUCUCUUAUAGAUGGAUCCGCGCCGCAUUAGCUAGUUGGUAAGGUAACGGCUUAUCAAGGCAACGAUGCGUAGCCGACCUGAGAGGGUGAUCGCCGACCUGGGAGGGGAGACGGGGUCCAGACUCCUACGAUACGCCGCAGUCGGGAAUCGUACGCAAUGGGCGAGAGCAUGACGGAGUAACGGCGCGUGAGAGAUGACGGUGUUCGGAGCGUAAAACUCUGUUAUUAGGGAAGAACAAAUGUGUAAGUAACUAUGCCGGUAUUGACGGUACCUGGUCAGAAAGCCACGGCUAACUACGUG